AAGUCGAGCGGACAGAUGGGAGCUUGCUCCCUGAUGUUAGCGGCGGACGGGUGAGUAACACGUGGGUAACCUGCCUGUAAGACUGGGAUAACUCCGGGAAACCGGGGCUAAUACCGGAUGGUUGUUUGAACCGCAUGGUUCAGACAUAAAAGGUGGCUUCGGCUACCACUUACAGAUGGACCCGCGGCGCAUUAGCUAGUUGGUGAGGUAACGGCUCACCAAGGCAACGAUGCGUAGCCGACCUGAGAGGGUGAUCGGCCACACUGGGACUGAGACACGGCCCAGACUCCUACGGGAGGCAGCAGUAGGGAAUCUUCCGCAAUGGACGAAAGUCUGACGGAGCAACGCCGCGUGAGUGAUGAAGGUUUUCGGAUCGUAAAGCUCUGUUGUUAGGGAAGAACAAGUGCCGUUCAAAUAGGGCGGCACCUUGACGGUACCUAACCAGAAAGCCACGGCUAACUACGUGCCAGCAGCCGCGGUAAUACGUAGGUGGCAAGCGUUGUCCGGAAUUAUUGGGCGUAAAGGGCUCGCAGGCGGUUUCUUAAGUCUGAUGUGAAAGCCCCCGGCUCAACCGGGGAGGGUCAUUGGAAACUGGGGAACUUGAGUGCAGAAGAGGAGAGUGGAAUUCCACGUGUAGCGGUGAAAUGCGUAGAGAUGUGGAGGAACACCAGUGGCGAAGGCGACUCUCUGGUCUGUAACUGACGCUGAGGAGCGAAAGCGUGGGGAGCGAACAGGAUUAGAUACCCUGGUAGUCCACGCCGUAAACGAUGAGUGCUAAGUGUUAGGGGGUUUCCGCCCCUUAGUGCUGCAGCUAACGCAUUAAGCACUCCGCCUGGGGAGUACGGUCGCAAG
rnacentral:rRNA from 1 species